UGGGGAAUCUUGGACAAUGGGCGCAAGCCUGAUCCAGCCAUGCCGCGUGAGUGAAGAAGGCCUUCGGGUUGUAAAGCUCUUUUACCAGGGACGAUAAUGACGGUACCUGGAGAAUAAGCCCCGGCAAACUUCGUGCCAGCAGCCGCGGUAAUACGAAGGGGGCUAGCGUUGUUCGGAAUUACUGGGCGUAAAGCGCACGUAGGCGGAUUGUUAAGUCAGAGGUGAAAUCCCGGAGCUCAACUUCGGAACUGCCUUUGAUACUGGCAAUCUCGAGUCCGGAAGAGGUUAGUGGAAUUCCCAGUGUAGAGGUGAAAUUCGUAGAUAUUGGGAAGAACACCAGUGGCGAAGGCGGCUAACUGGUCCGGUACUGACGCUGAGGUGCGAAAGCGUGGGGAGCAAACAGGAUUAGAUACCCAGGUAGUCCCUGAGCGGGCUGGCAAGGCGCAU
rnacentral:rRNA from 1 species